AUUUGGGUGUGAGCUUGGAAACUGGUCGGCACUGUUUCCGUUAUUGUGUGUUGGAAGCUCCAACUCGAUGGCGGCUUUUCGGAGAAUGAUUAGCUUAGGAUCGAACAGAACUUUGACUCCACCCUCUCUUCUCACUUUCCGCAGAGGAAUCGCUUUCAAGCUCUUCGUUGGAGGAUUGUCUGUGCACACGACGGAGAAAGGAUUGACUGAUGCUUUCUCUGAUUGCGGACAAGUAAUUGAAGCUAAAAUUAUAACAGACAGGGUAUCGGAGAGAUCUAAAGGGUUUGGGUUCGUCACCUUUGCUUCACGGGAUGAGGCUGCGAAUGCCAUUUCACAGAUGAAUGGGAAGGCACUAAAUGGCCGCGAUAUCUUUGUUGAUUAUGCGAAACCAACUUAUUCCAAGAGUACUGGAAUGCCCAUUGCAAGAGGACCCCCUGAACUCCCCACAGUUGAUAGUUGAUUUUCCAUAUGAGAUAUUGUAUUUGAUGCAGCUGAAUUAAGCCCACAAUAUUUUGCAGACCGAGUAGGUAGCAUGUGCAGAACUGAGUAUCUUUUAGGAUCAUGGAUGCACACAAUUACAACAAUUACAAGAAUUGCUCAGCAGAACAAAGUAAUAGAUUCAACGUAGCGGUGAGGGUGAGACAUUUGGUCUGCUAGGGUUUUUUUUCCCUCUUUCAAUCACUGUAGCGGUGUAGCCAUUCUCUCUUCCUCUCCCUCCGCAGUCUCUCUCGUUCGCUUCAGCCGCCGCCGCAACCCGCUUCAUCCGCCGCCGCGCAACAAUCUUCCGCCGCUGCGCAACCCGCUUCCCCUGCCGCCGCGCAACACGCUUACCCGCCGCCGCAACCUAAUUUUCUAUUAGGUGUCGUUUUUUCCCAAUCUCUUGUAUAUGAUAUAUUUUAUUGUUAAUUGUCCCUUUAUGUGUUUUAAUCUAUGUUAAUUGCUUUCAUAUUUUUUGUAUAAUUCAAAUGUGCAGUUGUCCUUUAAGCUUUU